GACGUAGGGGGCGAGCGUUGUCCGGAUUUAUUGGGCGUAAAGAGCUCGUAGGCGGCUCGUCGCGUCGACCGUGAAAACCCGCAGCUUAACUGCGGGCUUGCGGUUGAUACGGGCGGGCUAGAGUUCGGUAGGGGAGACUGGAAUUCCUGGUGUAGCGGUGAAAUGCGCAGAUAUCAGGAAGAACACCCGUGGCGAAGGCGGCUCUCUGGGACGGUACUGACGCUGAGACGCGAAAGCGUGGGGAGCGAACAGG
rnacentral:rRNA from 1 species